CCCAUACUCCUUCUCAUUAUAAGAUGAGUCGGGAAAGUUUUUUCGCUAAAGGAUUGGGCUAUAUGGUAUCAGCUUGUUGGUGAGGUAACGGCUCACCAAGGCUAUGACGCCUAACUGGUCUGAGAGGAUGAUCAGUCACACUGGAACUGAGACACGGUCCAGACUCCUACGGGAGGCAGCAGUGGGGAAUAUUACACAAUGGAGGAAACUCUGAUGUAGCAACGCCGCGUGGAGGAUGACACAUUUCGGUGCGUAAACUCCUUUUAUAUGGGAAGAUAAUGACGGUACCAUAUGAAUAAGCACCGGCUAACUCCGUGCCAGCAGCCGCGGUAAUACGGAGGGUGCAAGCGUUACUCGGAAUCACUGGGCGUAAAGCGCAUGUAGGCGGUCUUGUAAGUUGGGUGUGAAAGCCUAUGGCUCAACCAUAGAACUGCACCCAAAACUACUAGACUAGAGUCUGGGAGAGGAAAAUGGAAUUAGUUGUGUAGGGGUAAAAUCCGUAGAGAUAACUAGGAAUACCAAAAGCGAAGGCAAUUUUCUGGAACAGUACUGACGCUCAGAUGCGAAAGCGUGGGUAGCAAACAGGAUUAGAUACCCUGGUAGUCCACGCCCUAAACGAUGAAUGUUAGUCGUCGGGAGGCUCGUCCUUUCGGUGAUGCAGCUAACGCAUUAAACAUUCCGCCUGGGGAGUACGGUCGCAAGAUUAAAACUCAAAGGAAUAGACGGGGACCCGCACAAGUGGUGGAGCAUGUGGUUUAAUUCGAAGAUACGCGAAGAACCUUACCUAGCCUUGACAUUGAUAGAAUCCGAUGGAAACAUUGGAGUGCCAGUUUACUGGAGCUUGAAAACAGGUGCUGCACGGCUGUCGUCAGCUCGUGUCGUGAGAUGUUGGGUUAAGUCCCGCAACGAGCGCAACCCUCGUCCUUAGUUACUAACGGUUCGGCCGAGGACUCUAAGGAGACUGCCUUCGUAAGGAGGAGGAAGGUGAGGACGACGUCAAGUCAUCAUGGCCCUUACGGCUAGGGCGACACACGUGCUACAAUGGAUAGGACAAUGAGACGCAAUACCGCGAGGUGGAGCAAAUCUAUAAACCUAUUCUCAGUUCGGAUUGUAGUCUGCAACUCGACUACAUGAAGCUGGAAUCACUAGUAAUCGUAGAUCAGCCAUGCUACGG
rnacentral:rRNA from 1 species